GUUUUAAGUAAUGUAAGAAAUGUAAGAAAUGCAAUCCCAGACGCCAUACUGUUGCUUCUAAUCCUCCCUAACCAGCCCCUUCAGCCAGGGCCUUGGGCUGGGUAGUCACCCGCUGGCCUGGUGAAGGAGUAGCAGGGGGAAGUGGUCUUUGUCUGUGGUCUGUGGUCGUCUGUACGAGGAGUCUGUAGUCAGCGGUGUUUGUGUGUGCGUUAAUGAGUAACCGACUUCGAGUAUCACAAACACCGCUACUGUUCAGAAGAGCGACUCCGAAGUGAUCCCAGUGUACUGGGCAUGGUUGAGAAAUUCCCUCUGUACUAGGAGUCUGUAGUCAGUGGUGUUUGUGUGUGCGUUAAUGAGUAACCGACUUCGAGUAUCACAAACACCGCUACUGUUCAGAAGAGCGACUCCGAAAUGAUCCCAGUGUACUGGGCAUGGUUGAGAAAUUCCCUCUGUACGAGGAGUCUGUAGUCAGGUGUGUUUGUGUGUGCGUUAAUGAGUAACCGACUUCGAGUAUCACAAACACCGCUGCUGUUCAGAAGAGCGACUCCGAGGUGAUCCCAGUGUACUGGGCAUGGUUGAGAAAUUCCCUCUGUACGAGGAGUCUGUAGUCAGGUGUGUUUGUGUGUGCGUUAAUGAGUAACCGACUUCGAGUAUCACAAACACCGCUACUGUUCAGAAGAGCGACUCCGAGGUGAUCCCAGUGUACUGGGCAUGGUUGAGAAGUAUCGUUAAACUGGUGCUUUUCUGUGGUCGUCUGUACCAGGAGUCUGUAGUCAGGGGUGUGUGUGUGCGUUAAUGAGUAACCGACUUCGAGAAACACAAACCCCGCUACGGUUCGGAAGAGCGACUCCGAAGUGAUCCCAGUGUACUGGGCAUGGUUGAGAAAUUCUGUCUGUACCAGGAGUCUGUAGUCAGGGGUGUUUGUGUGUGCGUUAAUGAGUAACCGACUUCGAGAAACACAAACCCCGCUACGGUUCGGAAGAGCGACUCCGAAGUGAUCCCAGUGUACUGGGCAUGGUUGAGAAAUUCCCUCUGUACGAGGAGUCUGUAGUCAGUGGUGUUUGUGUGUGCGUUAAUGAGUAACCGACUUCGAGUAUCACAAACACCGCUACCGUUCAGAAGAGCGACUCCGAAGUGAUCCCAGUGUACUGGGCAUGGUUGAGAAAUUCCCUCUGUACGAGGAGUCUGUAGUCAGGUGUGUUUGUGUGUGCGUUAAUGAGUAACCGACUUCGAGUAUCACAAACACCGCUACUGUUCAGAAGAGCGACUCCGAGGUGAUCCCAGUGUACUGGGCAUGGUUGAGAAAUUCCCUCUGUACGAGGAGUCUGUAGUCAGGUGUGUUUGUGUGUGCGUUAAUGAGUAACCGACUUCGAGUAUCACAAACACCGCUGCUGUUCAGAAGAGCGACUCCGAGGUGAUCCCAGUGUACUGGGCAUGGUUGAGAAAUUCCCUCUGUACGAGGAGUCUGUAGUCAGGUGUGUUUGUGUGUGCGUUAAUGAGUAACCGACUUCGAGUAUCACAAACACCGCUACUGUUCAGAAGAGCGACUCCGAGGUGAUCCCAGUGUACUGGGCAUGGUUGAGAAGUAUCGUUAAACUGGUGCUUUUCUGUGGUCGUCUGUACCAGGAGUCUGUAGUCAGGGGUGUUUGUGUGUGCGUUAAUGAGUAACCGACUUCGAGAAACACAAAACCCGCUACGGUUCGGAAGAGCGACUCCGAAGUGAUUCCAGUGUACUGGGCAUGGUUGAGAAAUUCUGUCUGUACCAGGAGUCUGUAGUCAGGGUGUUUGUGUGUGCGUUAAUGAGUAACCGACUUCGAGAAACACAAACCCCGCUACUGUUCGGAAGAGCGACUCCGAAGUGAUCCCAGUGUACUGGGCAUGGUUGAGAAAUUCCCUCUGUACGAGGAGUCUGUAGUCAGGUGUGUUUGUGUGUGCGUUAAUGAGUAACCGACUUCGAGUAUCACAAACACCGCUACUGUUCAGAAGAGCGACUCCGAGGUGAUCCCAGUGUACUGGGCAUGGUUGAGAAGUAUCGUUAAACUGGUGCUUUUCUGUGGUCGUCUGUAACAGGAGUCUGUAGUCAGGGGGUAUUUGUGUGCGUUAAUGAGUAACCGACUUCGAGUAUCACAAACACCGCUACUGUUCAGAAGAGCGACUCCGAAGUGAUCCCAGUGUACUGGGCAUGGUUGAGAAAUUCCGUUAAAGUGGACCUUGUCUGUGGUCGUCUGUACCAGGAGUCUGU